UUGGUCCUAACUCUCUGGGCUCCAACGUUGGCCUCUUACUCAAGGUUACUAACGCUGGUGUCCACCUGAAGCUGCAAAUCAAAUAAGAGUAACCUUAAAUUGUGUGGAGCUUUUUAGUUUAGGAAAUGGCUUUCUCUGUCCAUCUCCACGGCGGAACUCGGAGUAUAAAGCAUUAUUGGGAGAAUUAAACAACACCUAAACAAGUGUAAGAAGGGGCCAGGUGUAUGGAUUCAACAAAAUUCUCGUCAAGACACCUGGGAUGAUUCUGCAUACAUGCAGUCGGAACACUAUACAUAAUAAAUAAAUCUAAAAGAAGAAGAAGAAGAAGAAGAAGAAGAAGAAGAAGAAGAAGAAGAAGAAGAAGAAGAAGAAGAAGAAAGGCUUAGUUUGCCUGGCAGUUUGAGGGUUCAUCGCGGACAUUGAAUUGGACUGAGAUGCGGGCUGUUUCAUGGCAGGAACGUGCAAAGAAACUUCUGGGGAUGCUGAGAGGCCCUGCUAAGUGACUAGUGCUUUUGUGUUUGUUGGAGGAGGCAAAAGAAAGCAGAGGUGUCGGAGAUGGAAACAGAGCUCAAUUCUAAAAUUUGCCGGAAGUAUAUGGCUGCUGUCGUGUGAACAUGUCAAAGCACAUGACACACUUGAAUGUGAUGUCUUUAGGAAUCCUCCCCCAAAGCAUUUAGGGGAAUAAAAGGACCUGUGGUGUUAUUUCAUGUGCACGAGGCUUGCCUUCUGUUAGCAAACUUUAGUUGAGUCACGGUGUCCUGGAAUGUUGCUAGGUGUUGGUUGGUUGGGUGCUCAACAUCUCCCCCUGCAGGGCUUGGAGAUGCGAAGCCUCUCCCCAAGCUGCCUGUAGUAAUCUGUUGAGUUCACACUCAGUUGCAGAGAAGCAGGCUCUGGAAACCACAGUAAUUUUGUCAGGUAACCAUGGAGACACUGUGUUGCUCUUGAAAUCACAGCCUACAUGGGGAGACUGGAUGCCGAAAGCGUUGGAAACCCAUCAUAAUUCCCCGUCUGGCUCGCAUUUGUAAAGAUGUGCAAGACAGAUACCAUGGCAUCUGAAUAGCCAGAUCAACGAAGAGACGCAUCUGAGCAGAACGCAGGACUGGUUGCCCCCGCCUCUGAAAGCGGGCAUGUUUUUCUCCUGAUUCAAGUGGCCACUUCGGAACUGCUUCAUGCCAAGAAUUAAACACAGCUUGAUUAUAGCCUAUCUAAGGUGGCUCAGGGGUCACCAGACCACAGCAGUAACAAUAUGUCAUUUAAAUGUAAAACAAAGCUGUGCUCGCCUAAAAAGAGGAGAAAGAGUAAAUAUGUUUAGACCACAGACUUGCACAGAUUGCCACAUGCGGGCCAGAAAAUGUCUCUCUGAUUUGUAGUUGGCGGAGGCAUGAGAGAUGGCGAGGCAGGAUUGCUUUUUCUGACGACAGGAAGCAAAUGAACUCAGCAGCAGCGAGAUUCCCCCCUGCGGGGAAAUGAAACCAGGAACGAGUGGCAUGGGUCCUUACAUAAGACAUAAACAUCUGUGGUUUGAAGGACCCCGGAAUGAGGCCUCAGAUGGCUCUAGAACCAGUCACCCUUCAAGGCAGAAGGAACAAUUGUAACAAGUAAAACAAUGAAGUUAUAUGUGCAGCAGACUCUGCUCACAGCGUGCAGAAUUCCCUUCCACGGGCUUAACUCAACGGUGGGAUCGAACAGGGAAACUGUGUCACAGUUCACAGGCUCCGGUGAUUUCACCUCGGCUAUACUCGAGAAAGUUAUGAAACACAAAGUUCUAAGCCCGUGUCCGCAAGAAAAGAGUUCAUGCUUUGAAGUUCUUUCUACAUCUGAGAAAUCUAAACACACCAGUGGCCAUCAUAAACUAACCCCGCUGCCCUGGGGAGGGCGCAUGGGUGACAGGCAGGGAAGUAUCGGGCAAGAUCAGAGACCUGCCCUGCGGUUCUCACUGCCAUCCCACAGGCUCUGUCCAGUUUUCACAACAGGAAUAAAACAAGGGUCAAAGAGCAGUUGACUUUGGGGCUAACCAUUGAACUUCCCUACUCUAAUCGGUGGGAAUGGGAACAAUCCAUUACUGUACCUGAGUCUAAUUCAAGGACAUACCCCAGUAAGGGUCAUAAGCACGAGGCCUGUGAAGGUCUGUGGACGAGAUUGCCGAGUCGUGGAUCUUCUUUAUUUGUCUUUAUAUGUACUUUCCCUACCCUCCAUGGUACAGGAUAUCUAUUUUGGGGCAAUUUUAUAGAAAGUAAGAAAAAAAUCUAUUCUUCUGGAUUCAGACCAACAAAAGACUGGAAAAUGGCAAACAAUACACAAGACUUCCUUCCCACCAAAUUCGAAAGUUAAAAAUCUUAUCAGACAUUUGUUUUGCCUUCACAACAAGAAACAAUUGGAACUUUUUGUGUUUGUGUGUGUGGUUGAUUAAACAGCUGUUUUAAGUCAA